UAGGGAAUCUUCGGCAAUGGGGGGAACCCUGACCGAGCAACGCCGCGUGAGUGAAGAAGGUUUUCGGAUCGUAAAGCUCUGUUGUUAAGGAAGAACGAGUGCGAGAAUGGAAAGUUCAUGCUGUGACGGUACUUAACCAGAAAGCCACGGCUAACUACGUGCCAGCAGCCGCGGUAAUACGUAGGUGGCAAGCGUUGACCGGAUUUAUUGGGCGUAAAGCGAGCGCAGGCGGUCAAUUAAGUCUGAUGUGAAAGCCCCCGGCUCAACCGGGGAGGGUCAUUGGAAACUGGUUGACUUGAGUGCAGAAGAGGAGAGUGGAAUUCCAUGUGUAGCGGUGAAAUGCGUAGAUAUAUGGAGGAACACCGGUGGCGAAAGCGGCUCUCUGAUCUGUAACUGACGCUGAGGCUCGAAAGCGUGGGGAGCGAACAGG
rnacentral:rRNA from 1 species